rnacentral:rRNA from 1 species
GACGAACGCUGGCGGCGUGCCUAAUACAUGCAAGUUGAGCGCUGAAGGUUGGUACUUGUACCAACUGGAUGAGCAGCGAACGGGUGAGUAACGCGUGGGGAAUCUGCCUUUGAGCGGGGGACAACAUUUGGAAACGAAUGCUAAUACCGCAUAAAAACUUUAAACACAAGUUUUAAGUUUGAAAGAUGCAAUUGCAUCACUCAAAGAUGAUCCCGCGUUGUAUUAGCUAGUUGGUGAGGUAAAGGCUCACCAAGGCGAUGAUACAUAGCCGACCUGAGAGGGUGAUCGGCCACAUUGGGACUGAGACACGGCCCAAACUCCUACGGGAGGCAGCAGUAGGGAAUCUUCGGCAAUGGACGAAGGUCUGACCGAGCAACGCCGCGUGAGUGAAGAAGGUUUUCGGAUCGUAAAACUCUGUUGGUAGAGAAGAACGUUGGUGAGAGUGGAAAGCUCAUCAAGUGACGGUAACUACCCAGAAAGGGACGGCUACUACGUG